UACAGAGGGUGCAAACGUUGUUCGGAUUUACUGGGCGUAGAGCGCGUGUAGGCUGCUUGGAAAGUCGGAUGUGAAAGCCCUGGGCUCAACCUGGGAAGUGCAUUCGAAACUUCCAAGCUCGAGUCUCGGAGAGGAAGGCGGAAUUCUCGGUGUAGAGGUGAAAUUCGUAGAUAUCGAGAGGAACAUCGGUGGCGAAGGCGGCCUUCUGGACGAUGACCGACGCUGAGACGCGAAAGCGUGGGGAGCAAACAGG
rnacentral:misc_RNA from 1 species